rnacentral:rRNA from 1 species
AAAAAUGUAUAUAAAAAUAUUAGAGUAGUAAUAGUUAUGAUCUUGAAACUCAAAAAAUUUGGCGGUAUUUUAGUCUAUUCAGAGGAACCUGUGGUGUAAUCGAUAUUCCACGUUGAAUCUUACUUAUUUUUGUUUUUCAAUUUGUAUACCGCCGUUAUUUAAAAAUUUUUAAAGAAUAAUAAUUUUUAAAAUUUCUUAUUAGAGAAAAAGUCAGGUCAAGGUGCAGUUUAUAAAUAAGUAUUUCAUGGGUUACAAUAAAUUUAUUUAAAUGAAUUAAAUUAUGAAAUUAAUUUAUGAAAGUGGAUUUGAUAGUAAAUUUUUAAAGAUUAAAAAAUUGAUU